rnacentral:rRNA from 1 species
GACGAAGGAUGCAAGCGUUAUCCGGAUUCAUUGGGUUUAAAGGGAGCGUAGGUGGACUGAUAAGUCAGUGGUGAAAUCUCCGAGCUUAACUCGGAAAUUUGCCAUUGAUACUGUUGGUCUUGAGUAUAGUUGCCGUUGGCGGAAUAUGACAUGUAGUGGUGAAAUACAUAGAGAUGUCAUAGAACACCGAUUGCGAAGGCAGCUGACGAAACUAUAACUGACACUGAGGCUCGAAAGUGUGGGGAUCAAACAGG